rnacentral:rRNA from 1 species
AAAGGAAUUGACGGGGACCCGCACAAGCAGUGGAGUAUGUGGUUUAAUUCGAUGCUAAGCGAAAAACCUUACCGAGGCUUGACAUCCUUGGAAUUCCGUCGAAAGAUGGAAGUGCCUUUUGGAGCCAAGUGACAGGUGCUGCAUGGCCGUCGUCAGCUCGUGUCGUGAGAUGUUGGGUUAAGUCCCGCAACGAGCGCAACCCUUGUCGUGUGUUACACUUUCACACGAGACUGCCCGGGCAACCGGGAGGAAGGUGAGGAUGACGUCUGGUCAGCAUGGCCCUUACGCCUCGGGCUACACACGUACUACAAUGGUCGUCACAACGGGUUUUGCCAAAGCGCAAGCUGGAGCUAAUCCCAUCAAAAGCGGCCUCAGUUCGGAUUGAGGGCUGAAACUCGCCCUCAUGAAGUCGGAAUUGCUAGUAAUGGCGGAUCAGCAUGCCGCCGUGAAUACGUUCCCGGGUCUUGUACACACCGCCCGU